AUGUCUGAUGCCAAAAUCAACGAUUCACAGUCCGGUUAUGAAUCGGCAUUGACCGGUUUGAUGGUGGCACUGGCCGGCGGCAACUUUAUUCAUGAUGCCG
rfam:Desulfobacterales bacterium S5133MH16 k99_670067, whole genome shotgun sequence.